AUCAAGAGCUUUAACCAUCUUGCCUGGACUCCUCUCUUCCCUGUUCCACCCAGAUCACAUUAGGCUUUGCUCCUGAUUAUGCUUAUGAUCAUCACAAAUGCUUGCUACAUUAUGGAAUAGUUACUCUGAUGUGGCUCUGUCUCCCCUACUCAUCUGGAAAUUACUUGUAGAAAUUCUUAGGAUCCCUCAGACAGUUCCUUCUGGAACGAGAUUCCCUCUUCUCCCCAAGCCAGCCCCAGUGGGUUCACCUUUAUAAUCUCUGGAAAUGGAACAAGAGGAUGAGUGAGAAGCAAGUAACCAGUUGGGAGCUGUGGAUUGGCAAAGUUCAAGAUGAAAAUGUCUUUGCAUGGCUCUGAACAGCCCUACCAUCUAUCCAGAUUCUCAAGCUUGCGACCUAGGAGUCAAACAUGAUACCUACGGACCUACAAUCCCCAUGUCUGAUUCUCCAAAAUGUACCUCGUGUCUCCUCCCUUCUCGUCUCCCCUUCAGCCAGCUCUGGUCCGAGCCUCCGUCUCCGUCUCCGUGACAGCAGCUCUUUUAUUAGCCUCUCAGCUUCCAUCUGGCCCCUCUUCCCAAGCUGUUCUCACAGCAGCCGAAGUUACCUUCCGUUUAUCUACUGGAUGUGCUGUGUAGCUUGUGGGGUCUUAGUCCCCUGGCCAGGACCAAACACCAGCCCUUGGCGGUGAAAGCGCAGAGUCCUGACUAUUGGACCACAAGGAAUUCCAAAAUCAUCUUUAAAAGCAAAUACAGUUAAAUACAUUUAAUUACACAUAAAUACAAUUAAAUCACUCUCCUCUCACCUUAAAAUCCUUCAGUAAGUUUCCAAUGCACUUUAAAAUAAAGCCCAAAGUCUUGCCCAUGGUCUGUGGCCUGCGUGACCUGUCCACUCCCUACAUAUUAGAUUGAUUCUCAUCUUAGAUGCCCCUCCCCCAACACAUUAUUCUUCAGAUUUUUAAAUAUGUUUCCAAGGUAUCAAACUCUCUCUUGUCUCAGGGCCUUUGAGCUAGCCGGGCCUGUGAGUGCAGCCCACCCCACAGGCCUCCCCCCUCUCCCUCCCUUCCCACGGACGGCCCCCUGCUCGUCCUUCAGUCUGCGCUUCAGUGUUCCCUCCAGAGAAAGUCUGUCCUUGACCUCCC